rnacentral:tRNA from 1 species
GGGGACAUAGCUCAGUUUGGCAGAGCGCAUGACUGGCAGUCAUGAGGUCAGGGGUUCGACCCCCCUUGUCUCCA